rnacentral:rRNA from 1 species
AUGGACAUCCUGGAGCAGCCGCUGGAGGCCGUCGCCUUCCGCAUCCACUCCCUCCCCGAGCCCGCCGCGGCGUGGACCUGCCUCGCCGCCGUCCUCGCCGCGGCCGCCGCUGCCGGCGUCUGGCGCCUGCGCUCCUCCACGCCGUCGUCCACCGUUAUAACCGAAGGAUCUUCGAAGCCUUUGGUGGACCUGGAUACGUCCCCGUUGUUGGUGCCAGCGGAGACGGAGAGGUCGCUCGGGAGCUGGAGAUCGUGUGAGGCGACGUCGUCGUCGUCGCUGCCGGCGCUGUCGCCGAGGGAGAGGUACACGGCGUACUACCACGACAGCGGCUGCGUCGGAUGCUGCGACGUGGAAAGCGACGACGAGGAGGCGGAGGAGGAUCGGGAUCCGGAAGAUGACUACGGCGUGUACGGGCCGGCGGAGAUGGAUCCUUUCGAAUGGGAGGUCGUGAGGCCUCUGGUGCCUCUCAUGCCGGCGACGGCUGCAGAGACCGGCCGGUACCUGAGCCCGAGGGCGCUCAGCGGCAGCGUGGUGCGGCUGUGGGAUCAAGGCGCCGACAGGAGCUUCAUGACGGCGGCGGCCAGCCGGAGACGGAUGGGCAGAGCUGGCACCGUCUCGAGCUUCUGA